GCUGCUUCUCGGCCUUUUGGCUAAGAUCAAGUGUAGUAUCUGCUCUUAUCAGUUUAAUAUCUGAUACGUCCUCUAUCCGAGGGCAGCAUGUUAAAUGGAUUUUUGGAGCUGGGAGAUGGAACAGGGACUUGCUCCAUCCACUCCAUGCAUCAUCCUGAUACUGCAGUACCUCCACGAGUGAAAAACAAUAC
ensembl:snRNA U2 U2 spliceosomal RNA